GAUUCGCUAGCAAUCGCGCAUCAGCCAUGGCGCGGUGAAUACGUUCCCGGGCCUUGUACACACCGCCCGUCAAGCCAUGGGAGCCGGGGGUGCUUGAAGUGCGUCGCCGCAAGGCGCGCCCUAGAGCAAAACCGGUGACUGGGGCUAAGUCGUAACAAGGUAGC
rnacentral:rRNA from 1 species